rnacentral:tRNA from 1 species
CCCAGCCAUAGCUCAGCUGGAAGAGCGAAGGUUUGUAAUUGGAAAUCGGUCUUUGACCACCUUAGGUCCCGUGUUCGAAUCACGGUGGCUGGA